UUUUUAGUAUAUGUAAGGUCCCAUGCAAUAUUUGUGACAUACUCAUACUGAAA
rnacentral:pre_miRNA from 1 species